GGCUGAGAGAUCGGCUGUUCCCUUCGGGGACAGAAUGACAGGUGGUGCAUGGUUGUCGUCAGCUCGUGUCGUGAGAUGUUGGGUUAAGUCCCGCAACGAGCGCAACCCUUAUGAUCAGUUGCCAGCAUUCAGUUGGGCACUCUGGUCAGACUGCCGGUGACAAACCGGAGGGAGGCGGGGAUGACGUCAAAUCAUCAUGCCCCUUAUGACCUGGGCUACACACGUGCUACAAUGGGUGGUACAACGAGCAGCGAGACCGCGAGGUCAAGCGAAUCUCUAAAAACCAUCCUCAGUUCGGAUUGCAGGCUGCAACUCGCCUGCAUGAAGCUGGAAUCGCUAGUAAUCGCGGAUCAGCACGCCGCGGUGAAUACGUUCCCGGGUCUUGUACACACCGA
rnacentral:rRNA from 1 species